AAGCGCAGAUCCAGAACCUAAUCUUGGGAGGGGCACUGGUAGAUUAUUUAAAGACACAAUCCAGGCACAAUAACCAUUACAGCACUUUGUAGUCGUUAUGGUGCCACUAGUGCCGUAGUGCCCUCCCAGAUUAAGUAUUAAAACAGUUUUAGAACAGUUUGACAACUUACCUGGAAUCUGCUGGGAUUGGGUCUGUAGAAGGGGAUAGCUGCAGU